rnacentral:rRNA from 1 species
UACGAAGGGGGCUAGCGUUGUUCGGAAUUACUGGGCGUAAAGCGCACGUAGGCGGAUUUGUUAGUCAGGGGUGAAAUCCCGGGGCUCAACCUCGGAAUUGCCUUUGAUACUGCAAGUCUCGAGUCCGGAAGAGGUGAGCGGAAUUCCUAGUGUAGAGGCGAAAUUCGUAGAUAUUAGGAAGAACACCAGUGGCGAAGGCGGCUCACUGGUCCGGUACUGAUGCUGAGGCGCGAAAGCGUGGGGAGCAAACAGG